AUACCCUACCAAUGAAUGAAAAUAUGUAUCAACUUACGUUUUGGAUAAUGUGAGUAAAACAUAUCCAGAAAGCAAACCUUAGAAGUUUUUAUUUUCAUGGUCUCAUUUCUCCCUCAUGACUUCAAGAGGCUUCAGGAAACUGAUAAACAUAUGAAAAAUAUCCAACUGUAGCCCUGAGUUACCCAAGACCUAAGACAAGCCAGGUGUGGGGACGUUAGUGAUGAUGAGAAAUAAGGGGCAACAGGGCUGUUGUCGCUCCUUUAGAAGCCCACUCAAGGGCUGCAAGUGAGUGCGAGAUCAUCUUCUCUGCUGUUCCUCCCCAAGAGAGUAGAAGUCAUGGGGCUGAGUGGUCAAAGGAGAACCUCAAUCUUUUUCUUGACAGAGCCAAAAGGAGCAGUGAAGAAGGUAGCCUGAUAUAUUACCAACAAGACCAGGGAGGAAAACAUCUCAGGAAUAGGUAUUUCAAGACAUUCGUGCACAUCUGGAAAUAUAAAGCUACAUUUAAACACUAGGAAACUAAAUAGUAUAAAAAGACCUGGGUGUCUGCUACCUAACAAAAUAGGAAAAGAAAAAGAGAUGACUAAGACAAAGGAAUGUAACUGCUUCUUUAACUCUCUUACUCCUUCACACUUGUAGAAAAGAGAACUGUGCAGAACAACAGAGAGAAGGUGACUGGCGAACUGAAAGGAGAAUUUUUACCUAAACAAGAGUAGCUGAAGGAAAAAACCUCUGGGUCAGUAAUUUUUAUUCUGAUAAAGUUCAUUCAGACUUAGUAAAUUGUGAGGUUUACUUUUUUGACUAAUGUUUUAAGUGAAAUCUCAGGAUUAAAAU